CUCCUGUCAACUAGCAGCUCCAAAGUACUCAUCAAUGGUGAGCUGGGUGCUCCCAUCCUGGCAAAGAGAGGUUUUCGACAAGGAGACUCUCUCUCCCCGUACCUCUUCAUCCUUGUGGCUGAUGUGCUCCAGAGGAUGUGUUGCCAACUUUUCCAAGAAGGCACGUUGCAGCACCCCCUCGGCUCUGACAGUUUUUUCCCGAUACUGCAAUACGCGGAUGACACGCUAAUCCUCUUUCAAGGCAAUAUACAGCGGGCGGCAGUAAUCAAGUCUGCCCUCACGGCUUUCUCGGAGUUCUCUGGGCUCACAAUAAAUUUUCACAAGAGCACUCUCGUACCUGAAUCCGUGGAUCCGGGCACGUCCUCCGCUAUUGCCAAAAUUUUGGGAUGCCCAAUCUCCUCCUUCCCGUGCACAUACCUGGGUUUGCCCCUCUCUUUGCACAAGAUCACGCAUGGUAUGCUCCUGCCAGUCAUACACAAGGUCGACCGCAGACUUUCUGGCUGGUUAGCCACUUUUUUAUCCUUGGGAGGAAGGCUGACCCUCAUCAACUUAGUGUUAGCUGGUAUACCGAGUUAUUUCAUGUCUUGCUUUGUCUGGCCCAAGGAAUCACUAGGAAAGUUGGAAAGUCUCUUGCGUGCUUUCUUCUGGCAGGGCAAGAACGAGGUUAAGGGUGGUCAAUGCCUAGUGGCCUGGGAUACAGUCACGCUACCCCGUGCUAACGAUGGUCUGGUAUACGACAGCUACAGGCUCAUAACCAGGCUAUGA
rnacentral:rRNA from 1 species